ACGGUUAUGAUGGAAUGGUAGACAUAGGACACUUAAAAUGUCCAGGCGCAAGCCGUGUAGGUUCGAGUCCUACUAUCCGUA